rnacentral:rRNA from 1 species
CCUACGGGAGGCAGCAGUGGGGAAUAUUGCGCAAUGGGCGAAAGCCUGACGCAGCGACGCAGCGUGAGGGACGAAGGCCUUCGGGUUGUAAACCUCUUUCAGCGGGGACGAAGCGAAAGUGACGGUACCCGCAGAAGAAGCACCGGCUAACUACGUGCCAGCAGCCGCGGUAAUACGUAGGGUGCAAGCAUUGUCCGGAUUUAUUGGGCGUAAAGAGCUCGUAGGCGGCUUGUCACGUCGGGUGUGAAAACUUGGGGCUCAACCCCAAGCCUGCACUCGAUACGGGCUAGCUAGAGUGUUGCAGGGGAGACUGGAAUUCCUGGUGUAGCGGUGAAAUGCGCAGAUAUCAGGAGGAACACCGGUGGCGAAGGCGGGUCUCUGGGCAACUACUGACGCUGAGGAGCGAAAGCGUGGGGAGCGAACAGGAUUAGAUACCCUGGUAGUCCACGCCGUAAACGGUGGCGCUAGGUGUGGGGAACCUUCCACGUUCUCUGUGCCGCAGCUACGCAUAAGCGCCCGCCGUCGGGAGGUACGGCCGCGACGGACGUAAACUUAAACGUAAGUAGUAGACGCGAGAGACGCGACGACGACGACGACGGAGGAGGAG